rnacentral:RNase_P_RNA from 1 species
GGAGUCGGUCAGGCAAUCGCUGCGGCACGUCGCAAGACGCGCCGGGGAGGAAAGUCCGGACUCCAGUGGACAAGGUGCCAGGUAACGCCUGGGGGGCGCGAGCCCACGGAAAGUGCAACAGAAAGUAAACCGCCGAAGUGCUCGCAAGAGUGCUGGUAAGGGUGAAACGGUGCGGUAAGAGCGCACCGCGUCGGUGGUAACACUCGACGGCAUGGCAAACCCCACCUGGAGCAAGGCCAAAUAGGGAAGUCGCAGGGGGUCGCAAGAUCCUGCUGCAGCGUGGGUCCCGCGUGCUUCCGGGUAGGCUGCUAAAGGGCUGCGGUGACGCAGUUCGUAGAGGAAUGAUUGCCCUAGACAGAACCCGGCUUACCGGCCGUCUCCCCCA